rnacentral:rRNA from 1 species
AUGGUCUGCAACCCCAACUCCAGGGAUGAUGAUGCCGCUGCCACCAUUACCAAGGCGCGCUUGCCUGACAUUUGCCGUGAUUUUAACAUCCUCUUCAAAACUGAGGCGGGUGCUGAUGUGACAUUCGAGGUCGGCGGGGACAAGUUGGCUGCACACCGAUGCGUGCUUGCAGCCCGGUCUAAAGUCUUCAUGGCACAGCUCUUUGGCCCCAUGAAGGAGACAACUGCUCAGACCGGUGUCAUACACAUCAAAGACAUGGAAGCAAGCGUGUUCAGGGCUUUGCUUAGCUUUAUCUACACAGACUCGUUUCCUUUUAUGGAGGAGGACAACGGACAAGAGGUGGAAGCAUCAGAGAAUAACUUGCUGGUAGCGGCUGACAGAUAUGAUGUCCAACGUCUCAAGUGCAUCUGCGAGGAGCAGUUAUCUGAGCACAUAUGUGUCAGGAUGGUGAUGUCCACUCUUGCUCUAGCCGAGCAGCACCACUGCCAGGGAUUGAAGGAGGCGUGCUUCAAGUUUAUCCAAGUCCAAACCCCCUCGUCUUUGCAAGCAGUAAUGGCAACUGAUGGCUGGGAUUAUGUUGUCUCGACCUAUCCCUCGGUUUUGAAGGAGCUCUUUGCCAAGGUUACUGCUUUGAACCAGCAAAAGUAA